rnacentral:rRNA from 1 species
UACGGGGGGGGCAAGCGUUGUUCGGAAUUACUGGGCGUAAAGGGCUCGUAGGCGGCCAACUAAGUCAUACGUGAAAUCCCUCGGCUUAACCGGGGAACUGCGUCUGAUACUGGAUGGCUUGAGUUCGGGAGAGGGAUGCGGAAUUCCAGGUGUAGCGGUGAAAUGCGUAGAUAUCUGGAGGAACACCGGUGGCGAAGGCGGCAUCCUGGACCGAUACUGACGCUGAGAAGCGAAAGCAUGGGGAGCGAACAGG